UAUUCCUCUCACGAAUUCUCUUUAUGUGCCCGGAAAAAUAAAGGACGUGAACAAGUUCAAGGUCGACAUCGAGUCGCAAAGAGGCGAUUGAGUACUACAAUCGUAAAAUCGACCAGAUUGUUCCAAAUUCCCAAUUACUUAAGAAA